UGAACGCUGGCGGCGUGCCUAAUACAUGCAAGUCGAGCGAACGGACGAGAAGCUUGCUUCUCUGAUGUUAGCGGCGGACGGGUGAGUAACACGUGGAUAACCUACCUAUAAGACUGGGAUAACUUCGGGAAACCGGAGCUAAUACCGGAUAAUAUUUUGAACCGCAUGGUUCAAAAGUGAAAGACGGUCUUGCUGUCACUUAUAGAUGGAUCCGCGCUGCAUUAGCUAGUUGGUAAGGUAACGGCUUACCAAGGCAACGAUGCAUAGCCGACCUGAGAGGGUGAUCGGCCACACUGGAACUGAGACACGGUCCAGACUCCUACGGGAGGCAGCAGUAGGGAAUCUUCCGCAAUGGGCGAAAGCCUGACGGAGCAACGCCGCGUGAGUGAUGAAGGUCUUCGGAUCGUAAAACUCUGUUAUUAGGGAAGAACAUAUGUGUAAGUAACUGUGCACAUCUUGACGGUACCUAAUCAGAAAGCCACGGCUAACUACGUGCCAGCAGCCGCGGUAAUACGUAGGUGGCAAGCGUUAUCCGGAAUUAUUGGGCGUAAAGCGCGCGUAGGCGGUUUUUUAAGUCUGAUGUGAAAGCCCACGGCUCAACCGUGGAGGGUCAUUGGAAACUGGAAAACUUGAGUGCAGAAGAGGAAAGUGGAAUUCCAUGUGUAGCGGUGAAAUGCGCAGAGAUAUGGAGGAACACCAGUGGCGAAGGCGACUUUCUGGUCUGUAACUGACGCUGAUGUGCGAAAGCGUGGGGAUCAAACAGGAUUAGAUACCCUGGUAGUCCACGCCGUAAACGAUGAGUGCUAAGUGUUAGGGGGUUUCCGCCCCUUAGUGCUGCAGCUAACGCAUUAAGCACUCCGCCUGGGGAGUACGACCGCAAGGUUGAAACUCAAAGGAAUUGACGGGGACCCGCACAAGCGGUGGAGCAUGUGGUUUAAUUCGAAGCAACGCGAAGAACCUUACCAAAUCUUGACAUCCUUUGACAACUCUAGAGAUAGAGCUUUCCCCUUCGGGGGACAAAGUGACAGGUGGUGCAUGGUUGUCGUCAGCUCGUGUCGUGAGAUGUUGGGUUAAGUCCCGCAACGAGCGCAACCCUUAAGCUUAGUUGCCAUCAUUAAGUUGGGCACUCUAAGUUGACUGCCGGUGACAAACCGGAGGAAGGUGGGGAUGACGUCAAAUCAUCAUGCCCCUUAUGAUUUGGGCUACACACGUGCUACAAUGGACAAUACAAAGGGCAGCGAAACCGCGAGGUCAAGCAAAUCCCAUAAAGUUGUUCUCAGUUCGGAUUGUAGUCUGCAACUCGACUACAUGAAGCUGGAAUCGCUAGUAAUCGUAGAUCAGCAUGCUACGGUGAAUACGUUCCCGGGUCUUGUACACACCGCCCGUCACACCACGAGAGUUUGUAACACCCGAAGCCGGUGGAGUAACCUUUUAGGAGCUAGCCGUCGAAGGUGGGACAAAUGAUUGGGGUGAAGUC
rnacentral:rRNA from 1 species